rnacentral:lncRNA from 1 species
ACAUCUCUUUCAGUCUUCGUAGGGGCAUUGACAACAGAGUUUCAGUGUAGUUCCUAAUUAAAGAUUAAGAAUACUUUGAAAAUAUAAAACAAAUGUAUAUUUUUUAAUGUAUCAUUUGGGGCCUUAACCAUUGAGGAAAUCAUAGAGAAGUUUGUCGUGAGGGACAAGGGGAAUAUACCACACGUUUACAGGAAACAAAAAGAGCUGGGAAAACAAUGAUAAGAAGACUCGUUGUUGCCUUACCCAUGAAUUCAUGACUUUGCUAUUCUCCAGUAGGGAGCAGCACACAACCACCUAUGCAACCAUUUACUCUACCGCAAACAAUACAAGACAAAGAAAACCUUUUGAAGAUUCGACCGUAAGUAGUGAAGAAACUGAACCUCUGAUAAUUGGGUCCUGCCUUCAGAAAGCAUUUAAUGAAAUACGUAGAUUAUAGUUUUGCCCUUUAUUGCAUUAUAUAUGCAUUAGUUAAAAGAGCUAUUUUGUCAAUCCUAUUUGAGAAUCGUAAGAGAGCUUCUUAGAAAUGCUCUUGAUUAUAGAUUGAUGUAAAGAGCAAAUAAAUUUUAACUUAAUAUCAAACAUAAUUCUUAAAAUUCAGAGUAAUGAGAAAAAUACUGUAAAGUCAAUGCUUGGACAUUGAUGCAUAAAAGAUAUUUCAGCAUUUAAAACUUUGAAGUAUAAGAAAGUACUAUUUGUCAAUGAUUAAAUAAAAAAAGACACAAUAAUGCUAUAAAAUGAAGGUUUUAUUUUUUGUUUGUUUUGCGUUUUUUUUUUCUUUUUUUUUUUUUUUUUUUGGUUAGAAGGCCACUGGGCCAUGCCAAGUUUUUGUUAUAAAUAUGAUACAUCCUAUGUUUGUGAUUUUAUGAAUUUGGUUCAUAACAUUGCUAUUACAUUGAACACUUUGUUUCAAA